rnacentral:rRNA from 1 species
AUCAACUUUCGAUGGUAGGAUAGAGGCCUACCAUGGUGGUAACGGGUAACGGGGUGUUAGGGCACGACACCGGAGAGGGAGCCUGAGAAACGGCUACCACAUCCNAGGAUGGCAGCAGGCGCGCAAAUUACCCAAUCCCGACACGGGGAGGUAGUGACAAUAAAUAACAAUACGGGGUUCUUUCGGAUCUCGUAAUUGGAAUGAGUACAAUUUAAAUCUCUUAACGAGGAACAAUUGGAGGGCAAGUCUGGUGCCAGCAGCCGCGGUAAUUCCAGCUCCAAUAGCGUAUAUUAAAGUUGUUGCAGUUAAAAAGCUCGUAGUUGAAUUUCGGGGUUAGUAGGUUGGUCAUGCCUCUGGUAUGUACUGGUCUCACUGAUUCCUCCUUCCUGAUGAACCGUAAUGCCAUUAAUUUGGUGUUGCGGGGAAUUUGGACUGUUACUUUGAAAAAAUUAGAGUGUUUAAAGCAAGCUAACGCUUGAAUACAUUAGCAUGGAAUAAUGAAAUAGGACGUUCGAUCCUAUUUUGUUGGUUUCUAGGAUUGACGUAAUGAUUAAUAGGGAUAGUUGGGGGCAUUAGUAUUCAAUUGUCAGAGGUGAAAUUCUUGGAUUUAUUGAAGACUAACUACUGCGAAAGCAUUUGCCAAGGAUGUUUUCAUUAAUCAAGAACGAAAGUUAGGGGAUCGAAGACGAUCAGAUACCGUCGUAGUCUUAACCAUAAACUAUGCCGACUAGGGAUCGGAUGAUGUUAAUUUUUUAAUGACUCAUUCGGCGCCUUACGGGAAACCAAAGUGUUUGGGUUC